UGAAAAAAAAAACUAAUUUAAGCACCUAAUUGUGAAUUAUUUGUGAAAAUAUAGUGUAAUUUAUUUGUGCAAUUUGCGAUAUUGGUGAAAAGUGGAACUUUUAUUUGGAAAAUCUAUUCCCUUCGAUGGCCGCGGCCACUUAUUUGCCCCUCUUGAUGGCCAAACAAAAUUUGAGGACUGUUUUUGCUUCUAUAGCAGCUGCACCUGGCUGCUUCCGGAAGAUUAUGUUCUCGACGUUGCCAUCUAAUGCUAGCCCUAAUGCUGCAAACCCAAGGUUAGGUUAGUUCCCCUCACGACCAGGGCUCUGAAGUAUGAUGUUCAAGGGAAUCGCGAUAAGGACGACAGGACGAGUGGGUAUCAUAUGGAAGGAAACUUCUGUAAUGUUCUUUUUUCGAUUCGAUCAGAACUUGUGUCUGGAACCUUCGAAACGGUCGUUACGGUGAAGCAACAUACAAUUUUAUAAGGGAAUGGAGUUUCGUUCGGAAGGAACCACUGCGGAACCACUCCUGAAAAUAAUCCGGCAAAUGCGGUCCGACGAUUCCACUAGGUUGUGUAAUGGAUGUCACUUCUGAAGUCCUAUAAGUCAACGGUGCACCAUGGAAAUUCGUCUAGUUCACCAGAUCAGAGGUUCGUGUUUACGAUUACUCGCCGCCCCUAUCUGAUACUGUUAUUCUAAUUAAUAGCUGCGUAUGGACAUUGAACAUAAUCAAUAAUCAAAGUCAUCGACCGAACAAUACCACCUGUCUGGGAACUUGCCUGAGAAGCAUUAAAUGUGGAACUCUGAAGUGGGACGACAGGACGUAGCUGUGCAUGGUGGUCGCUAACAAUAAAGUCUAAAGGGUCGAGUACAAUGCUGCGUUUUCACCGACUUCAAUUUCAUCGCAUAUAAAUCCAACCACGGUCCGAUCAUCUGCUGAAGAGUACUAUUCUGUUUCAGUUUUAUGAAAGUAAUCAAAUCUGUACGUGCCUAUAUAGCAGGCUUUGAAUCCAAAUGAGAAUGAGAAAAUCUCUCACUUAUCAUGUAAGCGGCUACACUCUCGAUAGGUAGCAUACCGUGAGAGACGUUUAUCGGUAGCUGUUACGAUAAUUAACUGA